GUUUUUUGAAAAAUACAAAAUCUGGCGCUUGCUGCGGCAGCACAUACACUACAAUUGGAACGGUACAGAGAAGAUUAGCACAGCCCCUGCGCAAGGAU